rnacentral:rRNA from 1 species
CACCGCGGUUACACGGACAGCUCAAGUUGACAAAGGACGGCGUAAAGGGUGGUUAGGGAAUAAUAUAAACUAAAGACGAAAGACUUCAAGACCGUUGCACGCUGCCUCGGAGCCCUGAAAAUCAUCCACGAAAGUGACUUUAUACUACCCGACCCCACGAAAGCUGAGGUA